AUGCGAUAAGUAAUGUGAAUUGCAGAAUUCCGUGAAUCAUUAAAUCUUUGAACGCACAUUGCGCCCUCUGGUAUUCCUAAGGGCAUGCCUGUUUGAGAAUCAGUUUAACCAUCAAUUCCUUUUACUUUUUUUUUUGGAAAGUACAAGGGUUGGAUUUGGGAUUCCUCUAGUCUUUUCUAGAGAAACCUUAAUGAUAUUUGUUGCCUUGUUUUCAUCAUUUUAUAUAACAGAAGGCAUGACCAUUGAACGAAAGUUCUUUAUUAUGCACAAAGUAUAUAUUAUAUGAGAAUCGGGUACAAAAAACAUAACUUUAACGAAGAACCUCUUCCAAGAGGUACUUUAAGACUUGAUCUCAAAUCAGACAAGACUACCCGCUGAACUUAA
rnacentral:misc_RNA from 1 species